UACGGAGGGGGCUAGCGUUGUUCGGAAUUACUGGGCGUAAAGCGCACGCAGGCGGCGCGUCAAGUCAGGGGUGAAAGGCCCGGGCUCAACCCGGGAACUGCCCUUGAGACUGGCGUGCUGGAGUCCGGGAGAGGGUGGCGGAAUUCCCAGUGUAGAGGUGAAAUUCGUAGAUAUUGGGAAGAACACCGGUGGCGAAGGCGGCCACCUGGCCCGGGACUGACGCUCAUGUGCGAAAGCGUGGGGAGCAAACAGG
rnacentral:misc_RNA from 1 species